rnacentral:rRNA from 1 species
UACGAAGGGGGCUAGCGUUGCUCGGAAUCACUGGGCGUAAAGCGCACGUAGGCGGCUUUCUAAGUCAGGGGUGAAAUCCUGGAGCUCAACUCCAGAACUGCCUUUGAUACUGGAGAGCUUGAGUCCGGAAGAGGUGAGUGGAACUCCGAGUGUAGAGGUGAAAUUCGUAGAUAUUCGGAAGAACACCAGUGGCGAAGGCGGCUCACUGGACUGGUAUUGACGCUGAGGUGCGAAAGCGUGGGGAGCAAACAGG